rnacentral:snRNA from 1 species
AUACCUUUCUCGGCCUUUUGGCUAAGAUCAAGUGUAGUAUCUGUUCUUAUCAGUUUAAUAUCUGAUAUGUGGGCCAUGUGCCCACAAUGAUAUUAAAUUUAUUUUUUAUGAGGAAGGGUCCAGCACACUAGCUUGCUAGUGAGGCUCUCAUGUGUCGCCUGGGCGUUGCACUACUGCCCAGGCCAGGCGCACCCCAA